UUGAUUCUACAAAGCACACUGAAUUUCUGCACUGAUUUGAUACAUCUUAGAAAUUCGAAGUCUAGAGUCUUUUCUGCAUUGUAUUGUGAACACCACUGAUUGUAUAUCAAGUGUUCAAUUCAAACUCAAUUCUCUGUAUUUUUUGUUUGAUUAGAAGUCUCUUGCCUGCGUGCUUGAGCAUUAGAAGUCUCUUGCUUAGUGCUUGAGCAUUGGAAGACUCUUGCGUGUGUGCUUGAGCAUUUUUGUGAAGUCUCAUACUUAGAAACUAUGGGAUAUACUGGAAGAUGGAUUGUAAUCUUGUGAUUAUAGUGAAAUCUCCUUGGAAGUGCAAGGGGGACUGGACUACUUCCGUGUUGUGGAAGGAACCAGGAUAACUGCUUGUGUCUUUGUCUUUCUUUUCUCUGCUCUGUUCUUUUCCGCUGCAAUCUGACUCUGAUCAUUUCAUCAGAAGCAAUCAAACUGCUUCUGAAGUUUUAUCAGAAGAAGUAUUUUUUAAGAGAAAAAGAAAACACAAUUCAACCCCCCCUUCUUGUGUUUUUC
rnacentral:lncRNA from 1 species